CUGUUAAAAUUAUGUUUCUCUCUUGACUUUAUAGGCGAUAGCAUAUGUGCAUUCUCCUCCUUGGACUCUAUGGAAAUACCACACAAUAUCACAGAAUUUUUCAUGCUGGGACUCUCACAGAAUGCAGAGAUACAGAGGGUCCUCUUUGUGGUUUUUUUGAUCAUCUAUGUGGUCACAGUGUGUGGCAACAUGCUCAUUGUGGUCACCAUUACCUCCAGUCCCAUGCUGGCUUCCCCCAUGUAUUUUUUCCUGGCCAACCUAUCCUUUAUUGACACCUGCUAUUCUUCCUCUAUGGCCCCUAAACUCAUUGCUGACUCCUUGUAUGAGGGGAGAUCCAUCUCUUUUGAGGGCUGUCUGGCUCAGCUCUUUGGAGCCCAUUUUUUAGGAGGUAUUGAGAUCAUUCUGCUCACAGUCAUGGCCUAUGACCGCUAUGUGGCCAUCUGCAAGCCCCUGCACUACACGACCAUCAUGACCAGGCAUCUCUGUGCCCUCCUGGUGGGUGUGGCUUGGCUGGGAGGCUUCCUGCAUUCACUGGUUCAGCUCCUCCUGGUCCUUCAGCUGCCCUUCUGUGGGCCUAAUGUGAUCAAUCACUUUGUCUGUGACUUGUACCCCUUGCUGGAACUCGCCUGCACAGACACUUAUGUGAUCGGUGUGCUGGUGGUCGCCAACAGUGGUGUGAUCUGCCUGUUGAACUUCCUCAUGCUGGCUGCCUCCUACAUCAUCAUCCUGCAUUCCUUGAGGUGCCAUGGUGCAGAGGGGAGACGCAAAGCCCUGUCCACCUGUGGGGCCCACUUCACUGUUGUUGCCCUGUUCUUUGUGCCUUGUAUAUUUACUUACAUGCGACCAUCAUUUACUUUGUCCAUAGACAAAAACAUGGCAGUAUUUUAUGGUCUUCUGACACCUAUGUUGAAUCCACUCAUUUAUACCCUGAGAAAUGAAGAGGUAAAAAAUGCCAUGAGAAAGCUCUUCACUCAAUAAGAAAGUGCAGGUGUAUAA